GUUAUGAUUUUCGGCUUUUCAUAUAUGAUUAAAGGAAAAAGAGUUGUCAAGUACUUGUGCAGACUUUUCAAAUUAAAGGUCACCAUGUGUUCCUUGACAGAUUAUUCAAAUUCAUUUCCCUGGUUAGGGCUGGGCUUUACAAUGGGAUUUUCAGCUGUGGAGCUAUAAAGAAUUGCUACAUAGGGUUUCCAAUGUAGUUUUGUGAACAGAAUCCAGAAAUAAGAAGAGGAAAGACAAUGCAGAUGCAGCAUAAGCAUUACCAAUUACUUAUCACUGCUGAGGAAAUGGUACCUGCUUUGAGUACUACUUUUGUGUAUUUGGAGACAGUCCAGUUGUCCUUUAAACCAGAAGUGGAAAUUUCAGUGCUUGUUAAAUGUUCUCCAGAAGUUAUUGGAUGAUACAUAGGAAGAAAAUGGGGUCAUACUGAACAGAAUAGUUUGGAUACACAUUAUAGAUUUUGAAAGCUUGAGACCUCAAGAUCAACCCAAAUGAUAUUUAAU